rnacentral:rRNA from 1 species
AUUGAACGCUGGCGGCAGGCCUAACACAUGCAAGUCGAACGAGUGGCGGACGGGUGAGUAAUGUCUGGGAAACUGCCCGAUGGAGGGGGAUAACUACUGGAAACGGUAGCUAAUACCGCAUACCAUCGGAUGUGCCCAGAUGGGAUUAGCUAGUAGGUGGGGUAACGGCUCACCUAGGCGACGAUCCCUAGCUGGUCUGAGAGGAUGACCAGCCACACUGGAAAUUAGACACGGGCCAGACUCCGAAGGGAGGGAGCAGUGGGGAAUAUUGGACAAUGGGCGCAAGCCUGAUGCAGCCAUGCCGCGGGUAAGAAGAAGGCCUUCGGGUUUGAAAGUACUUUCAGCGAGGAGGCGUUACUCGAAGAAGAAGCACCGGCUAACUCCGUGCCAGCAGCCGCGGUAAUUC